rnacentral:rRNA from 1 species
AUUGAACGCUGGCGGCAGGCCUAACACAUGCAAGUCGAACGGUAACAGGAAGCAGCUUGCUGCUUCGCUGACGAGUGGCGGACGGGUGAGUAAUGUCUGGGAAACUGCCUGAUGGAGGGGGAUAACUACUGGAAACGGUAGCUAAUACCGCAUAACGUCGCAAGACCAAAGAGGGGGACCUUAGGGCCUCUUGCCAUCGGAUGUGCCCAGAUGGGAUUAGCUAGUAGGUGGGGUAACGGCUCACCUAGGCGACGAUCCCUAGCUGGUCUGAGAGGAUGACCAGCCACACUGGAACUGAGACACGGUCCAGACUCCUACGGGAGGCAGCAGUGGGGAAUAUUGCACAAUGGGCGCAAGCCUGAUGCAGCCAUGCCGCGUGUAUGAAGAAGGCCUUCGGGUUGUAAAGUACUUUCAGCGGGGAGGAAGGGAGUAAAGCUAAUACCUUUGCUCAUUGACGUUACCCGCAGAAGAAGCGCCGGCUAACUCCGUG